GAACGGGUGAGUAACACGUGGGUGAUCUGCCUUGCACUCUGGGAUAAGCUUGGGAAACUGGGUCUAAUACCGGAUAGGAACCGUCUUUAGUGUGGUGGUUGGAAAGUUUUUCGGUGCAAGAUGAGCUCGCGGCCUAUCAGCUUGUUGGUGGGGUAAUGGCCUACCAAGGCGUCGACGGGUAGCCGGCCUGAGAGGGUGUACGGCCACAUUGGGACUGAGAUACGGCCCAG
rnacentral:rRNA from 1 species